CACGUAGGGUCCGAGCGUUGUCCGGAAUUACUGGGCGUAAAGCGUGCGCAGGCGGUUGGGUCAGUCGCUGGUGAAAGCCCCACGCUCACGUGGGAAUGGCCAACGAGACGGCCCGACUGGAGGCAGGGAGAGGCCGGUGGAAUUCCGGGUGUAGUGGUGAAAUGCGUAGAGAGUCCGGAGGAACACCAGAGGCGGAAGGCGGCCGGCUGGACCUGACCUGACGCUGAGGCACGAAGGCGUGGGGAGGCGAACGGG
rnacentral:rRNA from 1 species